GGAUGCUUCAGAUCUGUGGUGGUUCUCCCACCAACUGGCCUAAUCUCCAUCUGUGGGAUGCUGCUGCUGCUGACCUUCCUCCAGCCCACUGCUUCCAGCUUCCCAUUUCCAUCAAUCUACUCUGCAUCACCCUCACUAUACUUGAUUUGCUCAUCUACAUAUUUUUGAAUUUACCACCAGCUAUAUAUAUAUAUAUAUAUAUAUAUAGUAUAUUUAAUGCCAGAGCCAUACACCAUAGCAGUAAACUAUAAUCAGUUUCCAGCCCAGAGGGAUAUAUGCGCAGAUUUUUUUAAAUACCAUGAAGAAGACUAUAUACAGGAAGAUGAGGUAUCAGUUCUUGCACAUAGAUAUACAACAGUCCUUUAUUACUCCCCAGGUCAGGGGAAAUUUCCAGUGUUAGAGCAGCAAAAAUCUUUCAGAGCAGCACUAACUACAGUUUACUACAGUAAAGAUAAUUAUAAUAACAAUAAUAUAUACAAGAAUGAAAAAUGAAUAAAUACAGUAUUACUACACUAUAAGUGACAUCAGCAUAAAGUGGCUUGUGGAAUACAUUUAAAGUGCAGAAAAUGCCAGCAGUACAAGGAGUUGUGGAUAUUUUCUCAAAACAGCAGAGGCUCAUGGGUAACGUGGUUCUGAGGCAGCCAGGAGCAGAGGCUCAUGGGUAACGUGUCUCUGAGCCAGCCAGGAGCAGAGGCUCAUGGACUCUCGUGACAUGCAUCGACGUGCCUGUGACACACUCACCGCAUGGAUCGAGGCUAUGUUGUUGAAGGACGGGGGCCACGUGGAACAGCAGCAGCAUCAGCAGGAGCAGCAGGAGCAGCAGGCCGGUCGAAGCAUACAGCAGCUGAGGGCUCACGUCAUUGGGGUCAACGACGUGUCGUCCGAGUCCCACGUUUGGCUCCAGAGCUCCGGGGACAGUGUAUACAUCGGGCUGCUCUACCUGUCCGACGGGCAGCUGUCACAGUUGUUUGUUGUCUGUAGUAUGUUUAACUACAGAACAAACAUUUUGGGACAUGUUACAGAUAAAGCAUAUAAUGAAUUAAUGGAGAACAUAUACCUGGAAGUUUUAUAAUAAACCCCAUGACAAUUGUUAACUUCAGGCCCAAUUUGCUGCAUUACUGUGUUUUCUAAUUGUCUGAAAACAAAUACCUCUGGAUUUUGGACUGUUUUUCAGAACGACCAAACACGCGUUUAGAUAUCAUCUUGGCUUUUCAGAACUUACGUUCACAUUCUUUUUUUUUUUUUUUUUUUUUGCCAUUUUAGCUGUGCUUCGUUCCUCUUCUGUCAUCCUAGUGCACUGUGUGUUAUCUGUGAUUUUUUUGUUCCUUUUUUUCCCUUUACUGGCAUAUUAAAGGGAGAAAAAUACAAAAAUACAAAUGGACGAUUAUUAUUAUUAUUAUUAUUAUUAUUAUUAUUGUUAUUAUUAUUUUUACUAAAAAAAAAAAAAAAAGACUAAACUGAAUUGAAGUGAAAGACACUAUUUCCCCAGUUGAAUUGGCAGUCACCUGUUUGAUAAAUAAAGUGCAACUUCUUCUGUCACACUACAUGAAUUGCAUUAGCGUUAUAGUGUUUUGUCUCUACCUAACCGCUGUGUGUGGAUACAAAAAUGCCUGUUGUCAAUGCUUGAACCCUAAUACGGUGAUAAUAAUUUAAAAGAAAAAAAAUGUUUCCAUGAUUGUGCCUGUUACAGUUGUUUGUUACUAGAAAACUAGAAAUUGACCUGUCAUCAUUUGUGCAUAACACGUUGCCUGCCGCAUGCACUGAUUUAAAAAAAAAAAAAACAAAACAAAAAAAAACAAAAUUUUUUUUAACUCCAAUUGUGCCUGUUAUAUGCUUACAUGUACUUUUACUCCAAUUGUGCCUGUUAUAUGCUUACAUGUACUUUUUACUCCAGUUGUGCCUGUUAUAUGCUUACAUGUGAUGUUUAACUACACGAUCCAUUUUCAUUGUGUUCUUGCAGAAAUUGCCCUGUCAUCGUUUGUGCACGGCACGUUCAAUUUUUGUCAUUCCAAUAUGAUCUGCUUGUGUGUGUAUCACAGUUUCAAAGUUUUCAUCACGGUUUCUGCCUUCAUCGUCACUUAUGGUCAUUCUGAUAUGAUUUGCCUGUGCAUUUAUCAAAUUGUUAAUCACACUUUCAGCUUUAAGCGUGAAUUUUAGUCAAUCUGAUAUGAUUUGCCUGCGCAUGUACCAUAUUUUUCAUCAUAUUUUCUGCUUUAAUCAUGACCUCUUCAAGAGGUUAUCUUGUUAUAACCUAGAUUGAAGUCGGUGAAGAUGGCUUUAAGCAGUAUGAUGUCAUCACGGCUCUGGACAUGGACGCCAUGAUGAGUACGAUGUACGCGUGGCUGCAGAA
ensembl:lncRNA